AUAUCUCUCUGUACGGGAAGGAUGAGAAGCUUCGACUAAGGUUCGAUUCGAGCGCAGCGAGAAAGCGUUGCCGCAGGCAACGACCCGAAGGGGGCGAAGCGCGCAGCGCUGAGUCAUCCUUCCCCCACCACCA
rnacentral:sRNA from 1 species